UACUUCUACAGCUGCCACAUGUACAACCUUUACUAAUUCACUUCAUUUCUCUAAUUCACCCAGAUAUAACAAAACCCACCUCAUUCAAAUCUACCUUGUCCUCAAGGUCGGACUAAGUCACUGAGAGGCUGCGAAUGUCGGAAAUCGACUUCGGGCAUAACUCCAAUCUUCCCAAGUCGCAGCAUCGGGGCCAAGAUUAGCCCAUUCCACUAAAACUUUAACUGCAGCAACAUUAUUAAGCUUAACCAUCUUGCGUUGCAAAAUCACAACUGGUUAAAUCAAGAGUCGGCCAUCAGAAUCACACGCCGGUGGUUGAAGCUGUGGAGUGACAGAAGUACCAAUCUUCUUCUUGAGCUGCAAAAUGUGAAAUACUCAGUGGAGUUGGGCUCCAGCUAGAAGCUAUAAAUGGUAAACCACCGCACCCACUCGCUCCAGAAUUUUGUAAGGCCCAUAAAAGCGAGUACUCAGCUUCAAGUUCCUACUAAUUGCCACAGUUAACUGCCUAUAUGGUUGUAACUUCAGGCACAGGUACCUCAACUCAUACAUCGCACAAGUAGGAGCCAGGUCAUACAGCUAUUGUUGACAACAAAGACUUCAAAAUAAGCCAAUUUUGCUAAAUCGGAUUGCUCUUCCGCAAAUUUAGCAAGGUAGUAAGACGACGAAGAAGAAGUUGAUGUUGAUGCUGGGUAUUUUGCUGCGGCGGCGGAUUUGGCUUGUGAAAGGAGGUGAGCACCUUAUAUGAAGUGCUUCUUGAAUUGGAUGUUGAAGCGAUUGCUGAAGUAGAGAUUGGAGAGGUAUUUUCGAGGGAUAUUGUACAUGAAAAGGAACAUGAAUAUUGAAUACCAUUUAAUUUGUGAAUGUAUGCAGAUUGUAUAAUGUCACAUUAUACAUUCUGAUCUUAUAUACAUUAUGAUAUUGGACAUACCUUUUACUUUGUAAAUGUCUGCAUAUUGAAUACCAUUUACUUUGUGAAUGUAUGAUGAUUGUAUAAUGUCACGUUAUACAUUCUGAUUAUUUAUACAUUA